AUGCCUUAAAUUUAUGAGUAAGGAAAAUAACGAUUCGGGGUGACGCCCGAGUCCUCACUGCUUUUGCCGGGCAGUGGUGGCGCA
rnacentral:snRNA from 1 species